GAUGAACGCUGGCGGCGUGCCUAAUACAUGCAAGUCGAGCGAACGGACGAGAAGCUUGCUUUUCUGAUGUUAGCGGCGGACGGGUGAGUAACACGUGGAUAACCUACCUAUAAGACUGGGAUAACUUCGGGAAACCGGAGCUAAUACCGGAUAAUAUUUUGAACCGCAUGGUUCAAAAGUGAAAGACGGUCUUGCUGUCACUAUAGAUGGAUCCGCGCUGCAUUAGCUAGUUGGUAAGGUAACGGCUUACCAAGGCAACGAUGCAUAGCCGACCUGAGAGGGUGAUCGGCCACACUGGAACUGAGACACUGUCCAGACUCCUACGGGAGGCAGCAGUAGGGAAUCUUCCGCAAUGGGCGAAAGCCUGACGGAGCAACGCCGCGUGAGUGAUGAAGGUCUUCGGAUCGUAAAACUCUGUUAUUAGGGAAGAACAUAUGUGUAAGUAACUGUGCACAUCUUGACGGUACCUAAUCAGAAAGCCACGGCUAACUACGUG
rnacentral:rRNA from 1 species